rnacentral:rRNA from 1 species
AGAAUCAACGCUGGCGGCGUGCCUAACACAUGCAAGUCGAACGAGAAAGUGGAGCAAUCCAUGAGUAAAGUGGCGACCGGGUGAGUAACACGUGACUAACCUACCUUCGAGUGGGGGAUAACCUCGGGAAACCGGGGCCAAUACCGCAUAAAAUCUUUUGGAUCGGAAGAACUGGAGAUCAAUGGAGCAAUUCGCUUGAAGAGGGGGUCGCGGCUGAUUAGCUAGUUGGCGGGUAAUGGCCCACCAAGGCUUUGAUCGGUA